GCCUGGGUGGCUCAGCGGUUGAGCAUCUGCCUUCAGCUCAGGUUGUGAUCCUGCGGUCUCGGGAUCAAGUCCCGUAUCAGGCU
rnacentral:tRNA from 1 species